rnacentral:rRNA from 1 species
AGUGAACGCUGGCGGUAGGCCUAACACAUGCAAGUCGAACGGCAGCACAGUAAGAGCUUGCUCUUACGGGUGGCGAGUGGCGGACGGGUGAGGAAUACAUCGGAAUCUACUUUUUCGUGGGUGAUAACGUAGGGAAACUUACGCUAAUACCGCAUACGACCUACGGGUUAAAGCAGUGGAUCUUCGGACCUUGCGCGAUUGAUUGAGCCGAUGUCGGAUUAGCUAGUUGGCGGGGUAAAGGCCCACCAAGGCGACGAUGCGUAGCUGGUCUGAGAGGAUGAUCAGCCACACUGGAACUGAGACACGGUCCAGACUCCUACGGGAGGCAGCAGUGGGGAAUAUUGGACAAUGGGCGCAAGCCUGAUCCAGCCAUACCGCGUGGGUGAAGAAGGCCUUCGGGUUGUAAAGCCCUUUUGUUGGGAAAGAAAAGCAGCAGGUUAAUCCCCCGCUGUUCUGACGGUACCCAAAGAAUAAGCACCGGCUAACUUCGUG